UCAACGCUGGCGGCGUGCCUAACACAUGCAAGUCGAACGCGAAAGCCCCGCAAGGGGUAAGUAGAGUGGCAAACGGGUGAGUAACACGUGGGUGACCUGCCUUAGAGUGGGGGAUAACGUCCCGAAAGGGACGCUAAUACCGCAUAACAUCCUGCCUUUGAAGAGGUGGAGAUCAAAGCUGGGGACCGCAAGGCCUGGCGCUCAAAGAGGGGCCCGCGCCUGAUUAGCUAGUUGGUGAGGUAAUGGCUCACCAAGGCAACGAUCAGUAUCCGGCCUGAGAGGGCGGACGGACACACUGGGACUGAGACACGGCCCAGACUCCUACGGGAGGCAGCAGUGGGGAAUUGUUCGCAAUGGGCGCAAGCCUGACGACGCAACGCCGCGUGGAGGAUGAAGACCUUCGGGUCGUAAACUCCUUUCGAUCGAGACGAACAGCCAUCGGAUGAACAAUCCGGAGGUCUGACGGUACCGAGAGAAGAAGCCCCGGCUAACUCCGUGCCAGCAGCCGCGGUAAUACGGAGGAUCCAAGCGUUAUCCGGAAUCAUUGGGUUUAAAGGGUCCGUAGGCGGUUUAAUAAGUCAGUGGUGAAAGCCCAUCGCUCAACGGUGGAACGGCCAUUGAUACUGUUAAACUUGAAUUAUUAGGAAGUAACUAGAAUAUGUAGUGUAGCGGUGAAAUGCUUAGAGAUUACAUGGAAUACCAAUUGCGAAGGCAGGUUACUACUAAUGGAUUGACGCUGAUGGACGAAAGCGUGGGUAGCGAA
rnacentral:rRNA from 1 species